rnacentral:rRNA from 1 species
UACGUAGGGGGCAAGCGUUGUCCGGAUGUAUUGGGCGUAAAGAGCGUGUGGGCGGCCAGGGAGGUCCGUUGUGAAAACUCGAGGCUCAACCUCGAGACGCCGAUGGAAACCCCCUGGCUAGAGUCCGGAAGAGGAGAAUGGAAUUCCUGGUGUAGCGGUGAAAUGCGCAGAUAUCAGGAAGGACACCCGUGGCUGAGGCGGUUCUCUAGUACGGUACUGACGCUGAGACGCGAAAGCGUGGGGAGCGAGCAGG